AACGAACGUUGGCGGCGUGGAUUAGGCAUGCAAGUCGAACGAAUCUCAGUUGUGUAGCAAUACAUGAUUGGGGGAAGUGGCGAAAGGGGCAGUAAGGCGUGGGUAACCUACCCUGGGGAUGGGCAUAGCCGUUCUAACGAGCGGGUAAUACCCAGCGAUUCGGCCGAGGGGACAUCCUCUUGCCGGGAAAAGAGUUUCGCCUCGGGGAGGGGCUCACGUGCUAUUAGCUAGUUGGUGAGGUAACGGCNCACCAAGGCAAAGAUGGCUAGCGGGUGUGAGAGCACGACCCGCGCCACUGGCACUGAGACACUGGCCAGACACCUACGGGUGGCUGCAGUCGAGGAUCUUCGUCAAUGGGCGCAAGCCUGAACGAGCGACGCCGCGUGUGCGAUGAA
rnacentral:rRNA from 1 species